CCCCCCGACACUGCCACGAACAGCCGGAACGCGUGCCGGAUCGCCGCGCCGCGCUCAGCCCCGUCACCAUCGUCGCCCCCUCGCCCGUCAGCUUGCAUGCCUGCAACAGCAGCAGCACCCAACCAGUUGUGCCAGGUAACGAUGUUUCGAACAUCAUGCUCGUAGUUCGGAGCACCAACGACUGUUGACGAAAAAGGUGGAGCAAUCUUUUCUUCAAGCCACGAAGUCCUUGGGAACGAUCAGGGACCAAUCCGACCGCAACAAAGGGGAGCACAAGGAUGUAGAGGCACUUAGGAGGGCCAUGCUGCACAACACUAAGGUCACUGGCAAUAAUGCUAGUCGAAACUACUAGAUUAUAAGUUUGUUAAUUUAUUAGUUUAUUAUAAAAGAUUAUGUACCUUAUGAAAGGUUUUAUCCCUUCAUAUGGUUGUGUUUCUUUGUCUAAAGUUGCGUUUUCUUGUGUAGGUUGUGUCCUUUAAUGAAAGAAUGCUUGUUUUCGUGAUA